AGCUCUAUUUCGUUCCCUGACGGUACCCAAAUCUAGAUGUAGGAAUCUGUUGAGCAGGAGAGUGACACAUGUCUUCCCGAAGGCUGUCCAGCCUGCAGUGGUGAUGAAGAAGACACGAAUAACACCCCAAGAUCGAUUGUAGCGAAUUGAAAAACUCAUGGUGAAUUUGCUUCCACUCCAAGGCAAUGUCGAGGUAUGAAGGGUGCUUGUACUGCCUUCCAAAGUGCAGCGGAGAUGAACAUGGCUUUGCAUAGCUGUUGUUCUACGCCAACUUACCUACUCUUGCUGGUACGUAGUGGUAUAUUGCAAAUUUCGUGGACGAACAAUUUGAGUCACUAGUGGCUAGUGAGCAACACUAACAGAGCCUUGACAUUGCUGGACGAGCGACAAUAUAAAUUACAUAAACGUGUAGCUCAUAAUGUGGGAUGACUGCCGUAUUGCAUUGCCAACGCAAACCCAUCCUGUGUCAGUGCAGCCAUCCAGCAACGUACUCCCCGGACCAGAUGCCGCUGCAGCUGAACACCAUGCCGAUGGAAAGCCAGGAGUUGAUGGCGAAGCAUUCUGGUCUGCACAGUACAAGGCAAAGAACAAUAAUAUUAUGAAUUAUAACGCAUUGUAAUCCUUCCCACACAUCUUUGUAAAAACAAACAAACAGUGCCAUUAUCACAACACUUGAUCAAGCAUCUUGAUGGAGGUAUUUUCCAUUGUGCUGGCCCAGCAUCUGCACCAGGAAGACCAUGUACACUUACAA